GACGAACGCUGGCGGCGUGCUUAACACAUGCAAGUCGAACGAUGAACCCGGAGCUUGCUCUGGGGGAUUAGUGGCGAACGGGUGAGUAACACGUGAGUAACCUGCCCUGGACUCUGGGAUAAGCGUUGGAAACGACGUCUAUUACCGGAUAGGAUAUUGGAUCGCAUGAUCUUGGGUGGAAAGAUUUUUCGGGCUGGGAUGGACUCGCGGCCUACCAGCUUGUUGGUGAGGUAAUGGCUCACCAAGGCGUCGAAGGGUAGCCGGCCUGAGAGGGUGACCGGCCACACUGGGACUGAGUCACGGCCGAGGCUCCUGCGAGAGGCAGCAGUGGGGAAUAUGGCUCAAUGAGCGAAAGCCUGAGGCAGCAACGCCGCGUGCGGGAUGACGGCCUUCGGGUUGUAGACCGCUUUUAGUAGGGAAGAAGGGCUUCGGCUUGACGGUACCUGCAGAAAAAGGACCGGCUAACUACGUG
rnacentral:rRNA from 1 species